rnacentral:rRNA from 1 species
CACGUAGGGUGCGAGCGUUGUCCGGAAUUAUUGGGCGUAAAGAGCUCGUAGGCGGUGUGUCACGUCGGCCGUGAAAACCUGCAGCUUAACUGUGGGCUUGCGGUCGAUACGGGCAUCACUGGAGUUCGGCAGGGGAGACUGGAAUUCCUGGUGUAGCGGUGAAAUGCGCAGAGUAUCAGGAGGAACACCGGUGGCGAAGGCGGGUCUCUGGGCCGAUACUGACGCUGAGGAGCGAAAGCGUGGGGAGCGAACAGG